rnacentral:rRNA from 1 species
CCUACGGGUGGCAGCAGUGGGGAAUAUUGGACAAUGGGGGGAACCCUGAUCCAGCCAUGCCGCGUGUGUGAAGAAGGCCCUCGGGUUGUAAAGCACUUUCAGUGAGGAAGAACGCCUGGUGGUUAAUACCCAUCAGGAAAGACAUCACUCACAGAAGAAGCACCGGCUAACUCCGUGCCAGCAGCCGCGGUAAUACGGAGGGUGCGAGCGUUAAUCGGAAUUACUGGGCGUAAAGCGCGCGUAGGUGGCUUGAUAAGCCGGUUGUGAAAGCCCCGGGCUCAACCUGGGAACGGCAUCCGGAACUGUCAAGCUAGAGUGCCGGAGAGGAAGGUAGAAUUCCCGGUGUAGCGGUGAAAUGCGUAGAGAUCGGGAGGAAUACCAGUGGCGAAGGCGGCCUUCUGGACUGACACUGACACUGAGGUGCGAAAGCGUGGGUAGCAAACAGGAUUAGAUACCCUUGUAGUC